GACUCAAACAACCACUAUAGAAUUAGCUUAUUUUUCUAAACAUAUGCAUGUACCAAAUUCUUAUAAAUGAAGAUAAAACAAAACAAAACAAAACACCCAGAGGACAUCUCCCAACUCACGCCCAAAUUGAAACCCUCACAAAUGCAAAACGUUCUCCGGCCUCACCAUCUCCGAUCGCACUUCAGACGACGGUACCGUCGCCACUCAAGUAGCACUUCCGUCGUGGGUUUGGCCGUCUCCAGCUUCACCAUUUCCGACCACGCUUGGAACGAAGGUUAUCGUCGCUCCAAGGUCACUUUCGUCCAAGUUUUACCGUCAUCUGAGAUCACCAUCAUCGAUCGGCAACAAAGGUUACGCUUUACAAAUUUCCUAGUUUUGCACAAUUCGAAGUUGUUUUCCUUUUUUUUUUUUGUUUUUUUCCCCCACUAAGCUUAUAUGACUGUUAACCGUGCAGUUUAUUUCCUCAUUAUGCUCUUUUUUUGGGACUAGACUGCCAUUUAUUAUUGAAACCUGCUAUCACUUGUACCUCUAUUUAUUUUCCACUUCGCAGUAGUUUCUUUUCUAUUCAGUUGCUUGGCUAUGCUGAUGUUAGAAAUUUUUUUAUUCCAUCAGUUUUUCAACAUAUGGUUCAACUUAUAUGAUUAAAAAAAAAAAAAAAAAAGAUGCAAAUUCUUGAGUUUUUUUUUUUUUCCCACUGAAGCUUGUCUGGUAGCAAAUGGAAGUUUUAAUCAUGGUAUUGCACGAUCACUCUAUGAAAUUUCAGUUUGAAUUAUGCUGGUUAUUCAAUAUUUAGGUGGUUUCGUUAAGUGUUAUAGUGACAAUAAAUUUAGCUGAGUUAGUGCGAUUUAUUUUUAUUGUAGAAUGGGUGGAAAGAAUACUGAAAUGUCUGUCACAGUCGUAGAACUAAGGCCAUCUCUAG
rnacentral:lncRNA from 1 species